GGAGCUACAAUCUGCCAUUCCAAGAACAAAAGUAAAACAAAGACUACACACUGAUGCAACUCCCUCUCAUGUUAAAGCACUGGGAAUUGGGCAAAACUGAUCUAGACAGAGAAUGGAGUCACCUUGCAAGACCAUCAUGAGGUUCUCUGCCCAGAGCUCUGUAACAGGUUCUACAAUUAAUUUUUAUGGUUUACUCAGUAGUAAGACCAAAACAAAAGAAUGUUGUGAUAUGUAAAUAAAGCUAUGCCAAAAGCUAA
rnacentral:lncRNA from 1 species